rnacentral:rRNA from 1 species
AUUGAACGCUGGCGGCAUGCUUUACACAUGCAAGUCGAACGGCAGCGGGGGCUUCGGCCCGCCGGCGAGUGGCGAACGGGUGAGUAAUGCAUCGGAACGUGCCCAGUCGUGGGGGAUAACACAUCGAAAGAUGUGCUAAUACCGCAUACGUCCUGAGGGAGAAAGCGGGGGAUCUUCGGACCUCGCGCGAUUGGAGCGGCCGAUGUCGGAUUAGCUAGUUGGUGGGGUAAAAGCCCACCAAGGCGACGAUCCGUAGCGGGUCUGAGAGGAUGAUCCGCCACACUGGGACUGAGACACGGCCCAGACUCCUACGGGAGGCAGCAGUAGGGAAUUUUCGGCAAUGGGGGAAACCCUGACCGAGCAAUGCCGCGUGAACGAUGAAGGUCUUCGGAUUGUAAAGUUCUGUGAUUGGGGAAGAAUGGUAUUCUUAGGGAAUGAGGAGUACAUGACGGUACCCGAUUAGAAAGCCCCGGCUAACUAUGUGCCAGCAGCCGCGGUAAAUCA